GUCCUGUCCAAAAAGCAUGUUAAGACCUUAAAAGGGAAGUUUUUGUUAUGGCUGCAAAGUGACUCCACUGCUCAGAAUGACGCUACGGCUCAAGAGUGGCUACCUGCGGGAUGGACCCCUGACUGCCUGACUUUUGUGACAGCUGUCUGUGCUCUAGCUCAAGCACCCUGCAAGGGCUUUAUAACCUGUAUAAAAUACCGUUCAGGACAUCAGAAGUGCUGAUAUGAAGGGAAGAAAGAGAAGGACUUUGUGAUGAGGAAGAGUCACAGGCUUCAAGAAUGAAGUUGGACUACUUGUUACAGGUGUUCUGCACUGAGGCUCAGCCAUGUGACUCAAUUCAGAGCUAUUUUACAUUACUGAAAAAAACAUUUCACCAGAGAUGAAGUCUGUAAGGAGCUGAUCAUGGAAAUGGAGAUGACACACUCUGGUUGUUUCCAAAUAGGAUGUGCAUGGAUUUUUGCUCCUUUUCACUUGGCAUGCUGAAGAGACAGACAAUGUUACAACAGUGUUACAGAUCUAUUGUUCCUCAUCUAUAGAGGAUCCAUCUUCUACUGCUGAACUUGGUAAUAUCAACAACAGCUUUGGGAAUGAUGGCUGAUCAGGACAGGAGGACCUUUUACCAGGAAAUUAUUUGAAAGGAUAAUAGCGGUAUCUCUGCCUCCUUGUGAUCAAGGCAAAUAUUGAAAACUCAUCUCUUCAGCCUGGAUACGAGAUGACUGUGUACGACUGAUGUCCUCAUGCUUAGCCCAUGCUCCUCUUCCUCAUUUUGCAGCGUAGAGAGUGUGGAGCAUGCUGGACCCUGCUGUUAAGUUUGUUUGCUGUGUGGACUGGGUUCCUGGCUUCCCUGCUGUGGAAUGCAGGCUUAGCGUACGCAGGCUUGUACCUGACGCAAACUGGAACUGAGUUAUAAUCUUCCUUAAAGUGUACAUGUUCACUGUGUACACAGAACUGCAAGUUGAUCACUUGUUAUAUCACAUUCUCCCCGUUGUCAAAAAGCUGAGUUCGUGUCAUUCCACAAAAAGAAAGCUGCUUCUGAGGAGCUGAUGUUAUAUUAUUCAAGAGCGAUGCAGUACACUAAAACGAAGAAAAUUUGUUUUCUCUCUGGAACGAGGCAACUUGCAAACCUUGAUGUGAACAUCUAAAACACACAGAUCACCCCCCGUAUUCACUUAGCCUCCAUGAAUGACCUUUUCAAGAAUAAAGGUUGUGAAGCACAACUGUGAUUUUUUGUC
rnacentral:lncRNA from 1 species